CACGUAGGGUGCGAGCGUUGUCCGGAAUUAUUGGGCGUAAAGAGCUCGUAGGCGGUGUGUCGCGUCGGCCGUGAAAACCUGCAGCUUAACUGUGGGCUUGCGGUCGAUACGGGCAUCACUGGAGUUCGGCAGGGGAGACUGGAAUUCCUGGUGUAGCGGUGAAAUGCGCAGAUAUCAGGAGGAACACCGGUGGCGAAGGCGGUUCUCUGGGCCGAUACUGACGCUGAGGAGCGAAAGCGUGGGGAGCGAACAGG
rnacentral:rRNA from 1 species